rnacentral:sRNA from 1 species
UCCUAGCCCUGACUGAAACGAAAAUACUUUUUAUACGCUUUUUGGCGGAUAAAAAGAUUGUAGUGCAAAGCAGGAAAAAGC